GCAUCUCCACUGGCUUUCUGAUUCUUCUCUACUGCUAUUGUCGAUUCGAGCACACCACUUCAUUUCUAUCGUCUGCAGCAGAUGGGAAUUAAGGAGGUGAAGAAUCAAAAUUAAUUAGACGUAGUGAGGCUCCUUGAAUAAAGGCCAUAAUUGAGAAGAGUAAUUACAUGGUGUGAAGUUGAAAGGAAGCGUUUCCAUGGGGUUUGCAGAGGAGGUGUGAAGUCAACGGUGUGAGAGAUAGAGAGAAGACGUCAUUGGGCCGCGUAGAUAGAUUGCUAACAUGUGUUUACGGACCGAGAAAGAAA